UUUGUUUUCGAAAAGGGCAUUGGAUCUGAUAAGACAGAAAAAGAUUAUCUGGACAAACAAUGCCUGAAGUUUCAUUGGCUACUUUCAGUCGUGAUGGGAGGAGGGGCCUAAUCCAACUGGAGAGAAGGAUAUCUGUUCCUUAAUUGGGGAGACAACCUCUUUCUUCCAUGCUCUACACAGAUGGAGCUUGAAGCCAUCUUGCUACUAUGAGGGGACAAAGCUACACAACAAGGGUUCCUGAGCAGUGGGGCCACAAUCCUGAGACACACCUCUGGAGCCUUCCCCCUGUAUGGACUUUGCAGCUACCUUUCAGGUAUCUGACUGAAGUCACGCUGAGACUUAGAAACCUUGUGGCCUCGCGGUUUGAGAUUCCCUGCGCAGGCAGUGCGGCGACAGUUCUUGAAGGCCUCAGGAACACGCACGAAUGGGACAUCAUUCCUGCCUUCAAAGAACAUGCAAUAUCUUCCUUUCAGGCUGAAGAGACAACAUGAGCAAAGGCACAGAAUCCCAGAAGGAACCCUUGGGAAGACAUCUCUGAGCACCAGGAAAAGUCACAUUGGGCCUUGAUGGAAAGAACGACACAUCACCUAGAGCUUAUGGACUUGGAGCUAGAUAGAGUCCUGGAUGAGAUCCUGAAUUGUCUUCCUUUGGGUAGCAAGUGAAUGCAUUUCAUGUAGAAGUGGUUAGCCAGUUACCAGAUAACCUCCAGGGAAAGGGAAUUCAAAAUAAUCCUCUCCAUUCUUGGCCAGCCCUGAAUAUUAGGAAAUAUUUCCUAUGUAAGAAGCUGAGGACUAGCUACGAAUCUUUAAGUUGAAAGUCAUAGCUCCCCAACUCAAAUUAUCAUGAUUUUUAAGAAUGGAUUAAUUGAAAAGUCCUCCAGAGUUGCUGAAGCAUAGCUGCAUCCAGUGGUUCCAAGACUGACUGGGCUGAUGUGUCUCUCACAGACUGUAACUGCGAGCAUGGAGGAUUCCGGUCCAUCAUUUCUAAGUCAAACAUCCAUCCCUAGGGACUGAGGGGGUUGGGGAAGAGGAAUCAGUCUCCUCUGAACCACAUGGGCUGAACAGAAUUACUAUGAAGUGGGAGAAGGAUAAUUACCCAAAAGAAAAAUAUUUUACUCACCCCAUUCUUCAUGGACAGACAAUUUAGCACAUUCCCCCUUCCCCCCUCUACCCCCAGUGAUGUCAAUUACUCCAUUUACAACAGGAAAGAAAAGACAUACUUCCUCUGCCAAGAGAGACAUCAGUUACCACUAGCUCCUGCAUUUAGCUGUAAUCGAGGUCCUCCAACUGACAAGCAUUCUUUUAGGGCAGGGCCAGGUGUGGCUCUUCAUGGACCCAUAACUCAUUACUAAGUACUACAUUAAAGCGUUCUCCCUCAAGAAAAGAGUGUGCAAUAGGGAGGGAAAAUAACAUAUUCACAAUUCAAAUUCCCAGUUGGAAAAGGAGAGAAAUUAAGACAAUACACAAAGGUUACUGUUCCACAGCAUAUCCCACACAGGUGGACAGAAUUAGCGGGAAUCCCUGCAUGCAGUGGAAUGAGAUAGUGAGAUCUUGGACAGUCAUUCUGGCUGAUUCCAGCUUCUGCUCCAGGGAGACCUUCCUUAAUCUUUGUCCUCUGUGGCCGUGUCCAAGAAGUGUCAUAUGAUUCUUCUUUGGGAAACUGCCCUGCAUUUAUCGGAUCUGACAGAUUUAACAGUGCACUUGCUAUUGAUGCAAAUCCGAAGUUUUAGGGGUUUCUUAGGGUUGAGAUGUGAUAGGCUUAGGAUUUCUCUGGUGGUACAACUCCCUUAAAAACUCAAUCAACAGCUGGCCAAUUCGUUAGUAAACAGAGCUAGAUAUCUAGUCAUGGUCUUUGAAUCUGUAACCUGGCAUUAUAGUUUUUGUCUUAGGAAUAGACAUUGUUCUUUACCAUCUUUCUAGCUCUCAAAGAACUGCUUCCAUUUUGACUCUGCCUCAGAGCAACUCAAAACAAUAGGCUGGACAAGGUAAAGCACAGGUGAUUUGAGUGAAAUACACAGCGACAGAUGUACCCUCCUGGAUCCCAAUCUUAGCCCAUGCUAUUUCUCCCCCUCCCUGCCUUGUUCCCAUCAGCAUUUGUUUGAGGUAGAGGCAGGAUUUUGGUGAACGUGGCAUUGCAUAUCCACUGUGGCAGGUGGACGGAAUCUUCUGAUUGAUCAAGCUCAGCCCUGUCCCGACUCCUGGGGAGCAGAAUCAUUCUCACCACUACCACAGGGACAGUACCUCUGUGCCCACCUCACAUCCUCUCUGCUCACUUGUUUACUCGAGGCACCUGCAGCACCCAGGUGUAAAAGGACUGCAAUUUGCCUUGGUUCCAUUGUACGUCUGUCUGUGUCUGUGUAUAUAUAUAGAGAGAGAGAGAGAGAGAAUGUAUAUAUAAUAUAUAUGUAUAUAU